rnacentral:rRNA from 1 species
AUUGAACGCUGGCGGCAUGCCUUACACAUGCAAGUCGAACGGCAGCACGGGUGCUUGCACCUGGUGGCGAGUGGCGAACGGGUGAGUAAUACAUCGGAACAUGUCCUGUAGUGGGGGAUAGCCCGGCGAAAGCCGGAUUAAUACCGCAUACGAUCUACGGAUGAAAGCGGGGGACCUUCGGGCCUCGCGCUAUAGGGGUGGCCGAUGGCUGAUUAGCUAGUUGGUGGGGUAAAGGCCUACCAAGGCGACGAUCAGUAGCUGGUCUGAGAGGACGACCAGCCACACUGGGACUGAGACACGGCCCAGACUCCUACGGGAGGCAGCAGUGGGGAAUUUUGGACAAUGGGCGAAAGCCUGAUCCAGCAAUGCCGCGUGUGUGAAGAAGGCCUUCGGGUUGUAAAGCACUUUUGUCCGGAAAGAAAUCCUUGGCCCUAAUACGGUCGGGGGAUGACGGUACCGGAAGAAUAAGCACCGGCUAACUACGUG